rnacentral:rRNA from 1 species
GGCUCAGGACGAACGCUGGCGGCGUGCUUCAUACAUGCAAGUCGAACGAGAAGUUGACUUCGGUCAAUGGAAAGUGGCGGACGGGUGAGUAAAAUGUAGAGAAUCUGCCCUAGAGAGGGGGACAACAGUUGGAAACGACUGCUAAUACCGCAUAUGAGCGUACCUGCAAUGGUAUUCUUGAAAGAUUUAUCGCUCUGGGAUGAGUCUGCAUCUGAUUAGUUAGUUGGCGGUGUAAUGGACCACCAAGACGACGAUCAGUAGCUGGUUUGAGAGGAUGAUCAGCCACAAUGGGACUGAGACACGGCCCAUACUCCUACGGGAGGCAGCAGUAGGGAAUUUUGCGCAAUGGGCGAAAGCCUGAACCGCAGCAACGCCGCGUGAUUGAAUAAGCCCUUCGGGGUGUAAAGAUCUGUCAGUGGGGACGAAACUUGACGGUACCCACAGAGGAAGCAUCGGCUAACUCCGUGCCAGCCGCGGC